rnacentral:lncRNA from 1 species
AGUUAUAAGAAUAGCGAAGGAUUUAGGCUUGUGCUUUUUUUGUUUCUUCUUCCAUUUGACGUAGGUAUGUGACUAAAAAUCUUAAAUUACGUGGAUUACUCUGAUCUUUAUAUCACUGGAAAAGGCUGAAAGAGACUGUAAAUGACCUAGAUUCAGCCCAUCGCCUUUUUAUUUUGUAAUUCUAAUUUCUUUUUGUAUAAUGUGGUUGGGACUUUUAUUUUGAAGGAAUGUAAAGACGCGCUAACCGGAAGUCAUCAGUGAAGCGAACGUGAAGGCUGCAUGUGCUUCGUGUCUGCCAAAACGAUUAUAAAAACAAAGUUAAAGGUUUAAAAAAGUAAAGUUUAUGAUUUUCUUAUAGCACCUGGUUGACAAGGGAACAAGCUCUUACGGUGUGUUCACACAUACAAGGCUGAAUAAAAGGAUUGUGAACCAUCAGUUUGAGAGACCAUCUUUUCAACCGGGGAUGCUACAGAGACCAUUCCAAAGGAGAUGAUACGACGGAGUAUUAGGGUCACCGAAAAAAAAAGGGAGUCUACAUUCCAGCGAAUUUAUGCCGUGAACUGAAGUAGACCAACCAAACUGUGAAAAGCGUCUUGGAUUUCAUCAGGUAAACUGAAUGUUUAAA